UCGGUCGCACCUCCUUUGGCAAGCCCCUCUUGUUUUAUUGUAAUCGCACUUUGGUGAACCCCUUGAACGGGCGAAAUGAGCGAACUGUCAACGUACUGUCACUGAGCUAACUGUCAAGCGACUUGCUUGUUUAUAAACAUUAAAAGUGUUCUGCUGGUUCUGCUCGUUCUGCUUUUUGCUACAAAAAUUUGUAAUUUAUCAAACCGGUCAAGGUAGAAUCCCGGAAUAGCGAAAAAAUAGAACCUCCGGAGAGUUUCCAUCCCUUCUACGAAACGGGGUAAACGACGAUGAGGACAUUUUUGAUCCGGCAUUCGUGAAUUACGUGAUGGCGCACAGACCGAACCGGCUAGGAGCGCAUCUGAUCAUGUGCAACGGAGGGUUCUUCGUGAAUAACAACCCCUAGGAGGUCUCUCGAAACAGCUGUAUUUGUGGUGCUGCUGACGGUGGCAGUAAUCCGAGCAGGAGAAAACGCUAUUAUGAAGGCAUUUGAUCUGGCGUACAUGAUUCUGACCAACAGCGAUUAUUACAUUUUCCACCUGAUGGCCUGAAGACGAUGAAGAGGACACAUUUUUUUCAAUUUCAAACGUAAUUCCAACGAGGACUUGGCCCACCGACAGAUCCAGUAAGUGACUAAAGGGCUUCAACGACAACGAUUGAAGAAAAUUGCUUUCGUCAAUCGCAAAUACGGAUCGAAUGAUCGGUUCAUGGACCCUGUAGUGUCACUAAAAAUUGUAACAAAAACGAGUCUCCCCGAUGGAUGGAUUCGCCUUCGCGAUAUAUGCGUCAGGACAGCGUAGAAAUGUUUGGAACGACCGUUGCAUAAGUGAUCAAGGUAAACGCAUUCGGACAGCGUUUCUGAGCAACGGCAAUGUGUUCUACUACGAUCGGGACACAUCCGGUUGAACGCAAAUUAAGAACAUCCAAGUGAUUUUAUCGCCGCGGAUGGUUUUAUACGGGGAAAUUGGAGGAAAGUUCCGCUGAGGAUAAGAAGCAGAAAAUCGCCCACGUGUUAAACAUCAUCGAUGCUAUGCUCCUGGAAUGUCUGGAGUCUCGCUGUCUACCACUCGACAAACGGAAUGUCCACUGCAACAAAUUCGCCACAGCCAUAAUCGACUGCUGAUCCAUCAAAAUGCUUCCGCUGUUCGGCCGGUCCCGGCCCGGCGCAAGACUUAACUUCCGACGAUGAAACUAGAUGGCUUCUUCAGCAAUGUCUUGAUGCACGAGUUCAUCGUCGGCACCAAAGGGCUCGGAAGCGACUUGGAGCCGUUCGAUGGGGUGGAAACUUCGCAGUUCUAUAUUCCCCGAGGGCCGAUCUUCGUGCGGAGUGUACUGACCGGCUCGAAGUGAAUCGAGAAGCAGCUGGAUUUUAGGAAGGUUUUUAGCAGUAGGAUCCCGUGGGCCUGGAGCAAAACCAGCCAGAUUUACUCGUCGGCGCAAUGGUUCGAGGCGCCCAAAGAACCGAUCCUGGUCUACCGGCAGGAUUUCGAUGAGUUGAGAAAUAUGCAUCGAUAAGAAGUGAGUGAUGCUAAGUGUAAAGUAGUUUUAGAAGCAAACUGCAGUUUUUGAAUUAGAGUUUCAGUCUCUAUAUUAGACAUGUUAUUAUUUUGCGAUCAAAUGUUCUCGAUCUCGAUAUAAAUGUUGUUAGGUACUCUACUGCCUCCACUCGCAUAACAGUCCCAUUUGACUUUUCUCCACAUUUGAGUUAACGUCAUUUUCGAUGUACAGUAGACGUUCGCUCGGUGCAAACGCUUUAACUGCAAUGCUUUUUAACUGCAAGUCCGCUAAGUGCAACAAUUUUGCAGUUAUCGCACCGCUAUCCGUCAAAAUGAAAUGUCAACAGCGAUGCGAUGUAUUUCGCAUGCACUUUUGUUGCAAUGCGAUGUUUUUCGUAUGCACAUUGGUUGCAUUCUGCAGCAACUGACAGUUAUGCGACGUCUGUCAGUUGUUGCAGUUAUCGAAUUUCAUUCGGUAAGUGAAACGUAAACAUGUUGCACUUAUCUAACGUCUACUGUACCUCCGAAAACCAUAAUAAAAAUUACGAAUUUUUAUGUCAAUGUAUGAAAAAAAAUACCAAGUCAUGAGCGUCCCAUACCCGCGUAACAGUCCCAUUCUGGAUUGUUGUGUCUUGUAAUACAAAACUGAA